rnacentral:rRNA from 1 species
GACGAACGCUGGCGGCGUGCUUAACACAUGCAAGUCGAGCGGUAAGGCCCUUUCGGGGGUACACGAGCGGCGAACGGGUGAGUAACACGUGGGUGACCUGCCCUCAGCUCUGGGAUAAGCCUGGGAAACUGGGUCUAAUACCGGAUAUGACUUCGCAUCGCAUGGUGUGGGGUGGAAAGUUUUUCGGCUGGGGAUGGGCCCGCGGCCUAUCAGCUUGUUGGUGGGGUGAUGGCCUACCAAGGCGACGACGGGUAGCCGGCCUGAGAGGGCGACCGGCCACACUGGUACUGAGACACGGCCCAGACUCCUACGGGAGGCAGCAGUGGGGAAUAUUGCGCAAUGGCGGAAGCCUGACGCAGCGACGCCGCGU